CUGAGGCGCCCGAGGCGCUCUGCCCGCCCGCAUGGCCGAGGCUCCCGUUGAGGACCCGAGCGACGCGCUCAGGACGCAGCAGUGCUGGAAGCUCGUCAGGAACCUGGAGGCCGCUAUUCAGCAGUUCCAGUGCCACCCCAGAAAUGCCAUUUCAGAUGAUCUAAAAGUUGGCUUUUUCACCACAGACCAUGCUACUCAAACAUAUGCUAGUGAAAUUGUGCCUCUGAAAGAGCUGAGUUCAUCUACACAAAAGCUAGCACAGGUUGUUACAUCCCUUCAGGUAGAUUUUAAGUUCCUUAAAGAACUGGUUCAGUUGAAGUUUGAAGAACGACUUAAAGAGGAGUCAUCUAAUAUCUCCAUUGCUCUGUAUGACAGGAUCCUAGAGAUGGAAAAACACAACCAACAGAAUAUGGAGAACAUGAGAAAAUGCUUUCAGCAGCAGUUAGCUGAUGCCAUCGCUGUCAUCAAAGGGAUGUACCAGCAAUUCUUUGAUGUAGAGGAAGAAGAAACUACUUUGCACGAUGCAGAAAAUGUCAAAUUGGGUGUUUUGUCAAGAAAACUGAGGGAGAAAGAAGAAAUUAUUAGGGAAUUAAGAGAAGAACUAGAUCAAUGUGAAGGAUUUCAAAAAAUUGACUCCUUUGCCGAGACCAGCUCCUCCAAGUCAACCUUAGAAAGGGAAAAUUGGGAGUACAAAAGAGAAAAUGAGAGACUGCUCAAAGUCGUUGCAGAACUUGAAGAAGAAAUCAAACUCAAAAUAAAAGAAAAUUCAGCAAUGGAAGAUGAACUUAUAAGUCUGAAAGAGACUUCAGAGCAGAAUCAGAGAACUAUUCAAAAGUUAAUGGAUAGUAGAGACAGAUUACGAUAUGAGCUUGAUUGUGAAAAAGUAUUAGUCCAAGACAUGAUCAGUAAACGCAAAGAAGACAUGGAAAUAUACGCCAGGAACCUGAAAUCACCCAAGAAGAGAGAACCCUCUUUGUCCCCGUGGCAGUCACAGCGCAGGAGCUCCACAUCUCCAAGGACAACUUCCGGUUCCAUGAGUACUCAGUCUGUCCGAGCAAAGAAGUCUAAACUUGCCCUGAAGAAAAUUCCAAAGCCAGAGCAGGCAGUGGACAGUUCUGAUCUCUCUCACGUUGGCUCCAAGACCAGACUUGAGACCCACACCACUGACAGAGAGAAGCCCGCCAAGGGUGACAACAACACAAAAGACCUUUUGGAUGGAGGAACCAACUUGAGGAAGGAGAAGGUUAAAUCUAAAACAGCUACUGUGGCACAUGAAGAUGGGAAAGUGGAAGUAUCAUUCUCUAAGGAUGAAGACAAAGAAGCUUUGAAGACAGAAACAGAAACACUAAAGGCUGAUUUAGAGAAUGUGAAAAAGAAGUUUGAAAGAUUUAGGAAGGAAUCAGAAAGAAUAAGCAAAAACUGGGAGAAGAGAUUCUUUAUUCUCAGAAACAGCUUUCAUGCCCUUAAGAAUGAGAUGUUUACCAGACACACACUGUUUCAUCAGUUUGCAAUACUUGCUGGUACAUCCUUCAAUUAUGUUAAAGCAAAACCCUUGUAUGUGCAGUCCAAAGCGAACUUGACAGACACCGCCUCUUCUUCAAGCAAUCAUUUCCCUGAGGUAGCCAAGAAAAACGUGGAUGCAGUGAAUGAUCACCCAUCUUCCUCCAAGGCCUUUAUCCAACCUUUGAAGAAGCCACCCAUGCUGCCGAGCAGCCCCAGGGAAGAGGAGAAUCCACCCAAUUAACCAAGAAGGAAAUUGGACAGCGCAGAGCAGGGGCCAGACAGAGGGCUCUCUUCAUCUUGGCCCCAGGAAG
ensembl:lincRNA